rnacentral:rRNA from 1 species
UUAAGAAUCUUGCACAAUGGGGGCAACCCUGAUCCAGCCAUGCCGCGUGAGUGAAGAAGGCCUUCGGGUUGAAAAGCUCUUUCGGCGGGGAAGAAAUAGCGUGGGUUAAUACCCUGCGUUGAUGACGGUACCCGCAUAAGAAGCACCGGCAAACUACGUGCCAGCAGCCGCGGUAAUACGUAGGGUGCGAGCGUUAAUCGGAAUUACUGGGCGUAAAGCGUGCGCAGGCGGUUAUAUAAGUCAGAUGUGAAAUCCCCGGGAUCAACCUGGGAACUGCAUUUGAGACUGUAUGACUAGAGUGUGGCAGAGGGGGGUGGAAUUCCACGUGUAGCAGUGAAAUGCGUAGAGAUGUGGAGGAACACCGAUGGCGAAGGCAGCCCCCUGGGCCAAUACUGACGCUCAUGCACGAAAGCGUGGGGAGCAAACA